GAGAGGAUGGGCCUGCUAGCAGACCUCUAAGCAGUAAUCACAUUCAAAGUUUCUUCAUAUCUUUAGAUCAAUAAGAUUAGAGCACCGAGAACAUGGGAGGCUUCCUGUGUUCUCAUAAGCCAAAAAACAGAAGAGGCAGAUUAGGAAGUUUGGAAGCUCAAGGGCCACAAACCACAGACUUUGAGACUACAUACAAUGGAAGCAGAAGCUGAAACCCUUUCCUCAAGAAACAGGUCAGUUGGAUACUACAAGGAUGCCUCCUAAGCCGUCUCACCAACCUUUUCCCUCCAA
rnacentral:lncRNA from 11 species